rnacentral:tRNA from 6 species
GGAGAGAUGGCCGAGUGGUCGAAGGCGCACGCCUGGAAAGUGUGUAUACGGCAACGUAUCGAGGGUUCGAACCCCUCUCUCUCCGCCA